UCAUUCUCUGGCAUUACAGCAGCCUGACAACAGCUGAGAGGGCUGAGACAAACUGGUGUCACCCAUUUCAAGAGCUUAGGCCUUGCAGAAUGGAAGUGCAGAAGGACCCAUCUGAGGAACAAAGAUUAUGAUUACGCUUUGGAAACACCAGGGAAGAAAACAUGAAAAACAGAUUUGAGAGAAGCACAUAAAUGGAAAACAAAGGCUGGCAACUUUGAUACGCCAUAUGGAGUGACGGGGUGACAGAAGAAGAAGUAAAAUAGUCCAAACACUGAAGACUUGGUACAAUAAGACAAAAAAGUGUGAGAAUCCAGGCAGGAUGCUUUAGGAUGGAGAAGAGGGAAGGUAAGGGAAAUGCAAGCUUGUGCAGGGGUACAGCUGCAGCUGGGAUAUGAACUUUAUGAUUAAGCACUUCUCACAGCUGUGUGGAAGUUCCACACAACAUUACAGAGACAUCUAGCUGAAAAAUGCCAAAAGGACAAGAAAAUAGUAAAGGAGAAGUGUCUUAAGUGGCCAGCAGAGUGGAAAUAUUUUAUUAAGUUGGGGGUAAUGUCUGAGUGAAGUUUGUGUUGUCUUUCCUGGCUGUCCAUUCAGAAUAGACAUGAAAAAUGCAUGUGAAAAUAUCCAUUUCCCACAUCCAAGGAAGACCAGAAAAUAUUUCUUUUCAUCAGUAAAUAAAUACUAGAUAUUCUUUUACUGUAUGCUAGUUAUUCAAGUCCUGUCAGAAUGAGGACACAGCUGGAUUGCAGAACUACAGCCAUUGAUAUGAGCACAUGGAUACGCAUGUUUGGUCACUUUACUUUCCAAGGAACACAGCUAACCUCAUCUUUGGAUCUGGCAAAAAUGUGAGCUAUUAGUUUUUCCUGAAGCUUUAUCUGAUGCUUUAAAACCAAACUUUUGUCACUGAAAUAACCUGCAGAAAUUUUACCAGAAGAUAUUUCCAGCCAGUGUUUCUCCUCCUCUUCAUAAUGUUCUGAACCCAACUGCUGAUUAAAAAGUUAAGUGGACUGAUUUCCAGAGCAAUCCAUUUAUGUCAUGACUAUAUGGCUGUGUCCCUGCCAUUGUGUAAGACUUCAAUCCUACUUCUAAUUGCUUUGGGUAUCAUUUCCUUAGGCCUGUUUCUUAUUUCUCUCCUGUCUGUUUGGUUCUUAUUUUAGCAUGCAGUUUACUUUAGCUUUGUGUCAGUAUUGCUUUGGGCUCUGUUAAAUGCUUUUUCGCCCAUGUAUUCUUGUGCACCCACUCAACGCAUGAAGAUGUGCCUUCAGAGUCCAGUGGAACUUUUAAGCUUCUGCCUAACACAGUAAGAUAUAAUUUCCAUCUGCUGUAAUACCAUACCUUUUAAGAUUGUUUCCAAGGUUUUCUCAUAUGCUUGUUGCUAAGUUUAUUGAUCUAUAGCUUCCUGGCUUACCUUUUCAAGUUUUGAAAAUAUGUAUAGUGAUAAAAAAUAUUUCAGUUUUCAGGAUGUUUUUCCUUAUUCCAGUGAAUAUGUAUACAUUUCAUUUCAUGAUUUCACUUAUUUCCAUGCCAGCGACCUUUCCGUAAUUUUCCUGCCAUAGUCAGAAGUUCAUUUUAUCCUUAAUCACUUAAUUUAAAAUACUAAGAUAUACAUUAUUUGCCUUAAAUCUUUUUUUAUCUUCAGUGCUAUAAUCUUCUGUUUUGCAUAUUUUCUCCCCUAAAAUACGUAAAAGUGUCUCAACAGGUAUUGACCAACUUCCAAAAGAUGUGUAAAUGAGACAUCAUAUUUAUACCAUCAUGAGUUAAUCCAGUUUAUCUGGGAUUAUUUUUCUACGGACUUUAUAUAACAUAUUUUUGAUCUGCCAUUUCUCAUCUCACCAGGUGAAACGCAUUCCAUUUCAUCUCCUGAGUGCAUUCUUCUUUUCCUUUUUUUACCCUGUCCUUACAUCUUUUUCUGCAAUUAAGUAAUUACUUUUAAAUAUCUUUUCCUCCCAUUUCUUCUUCUUUGCUCUGAUGCGACACGGUGGUUCCUAUUGAGUGUUAUUUAACUAAAGGUUUGUAUAAUCCCCAGCUGCGCUGAAUCAAUCCCCAGCUAUGGAUUUUCUGUACAAUACCAAGUUACAAUUUCCUUUACCUUCUCAUACUAUGACAAAAUCUGUGUAAAAGGGUCAUUAUUUUGUACUAAAUACAGUCUAUAAAAUUCCAAACAAGUUUUUCAAGCCUAAGAGCUUUUCUCUUAGGUAUGAUUCUUCUUCACAUUUACAGGCUUAGCGUUUGUCAGUUCAUUGAUGUGAGUGGAUUUAAUUGAGACUCCAGCAGUGUAAAGCAACGCUUUCCUCUGUUUCACAGAAUAUUAUGAAGAAUGCAACAGACUGCUCACAGUUUGUUAUGUUUGUCUCAUUUCCAGUUAUUAGAUAUAAAAUUUGUCAGCCCCAGUUGGCUCUUGCAUGGCACUUUUAAACUUGUCUUCAGUUUGCUGGACUUCCCUCAACUAACAAACACAUUGUAUUCAAAACAAAACAAAACAAAACAAAAUCCCUAAUAUCAGAGGUGAAAAGAACAGUUAAAGACACUUAUUUGGUCCAACUCAGAUAAGUAAUGAGGAUACAGAUUUCCCCCAGACAGACCUGUUAGCUUAAUGUUAGCCUUGUGAAUUGUACUUAAGAAAUAAACACAUCAACUACAUAUACCUGCUGAACACAACAGGGAGGCUACUUGAGCAAAAAAAGGAGCAUGUUUGUUUAAGCCAUAUGUACCUGAAUCAGAAUCACUGAUUCUGAUUAACUUUGUUCUCAACAAGAUUCUCAAUGCGCCACUAUUUUUCUUUGCCUUCAGAGCCCUGCAAGCCUUUUCUCAAGGUGUUCUCAAAUGUCCAGACUUAAAAAUGAAAUAUAUGAAGAUUAUUGAG
ensembl:lncRNA